AAAGAAAGUUAAGAAAUUGAGUGUCAACAGGAAACGCAGCAAAAUCUGGACAUAUUUCAAUUACAUUGACCUAAGGCAGAAUGUAGAGUCUGCAAGACUAAAAUCUCUGCACGCCACCCCAAUCGAGCUGGCUCCACAAACAACCUGCACAGGCACAUGAGAACUGUCCAUCCUUUAGUCCAAUUGGAAGACAAAAGACAAGAAAGUGAACCUGAUAGUAAUGAAGGUGCCAGUAUGUCUACUACAACUGCAACUGCAGUGUCUCCAGCAUCGUCCAGUACACCACCACAACCACCUGAAAGUACAACCCAGAGCUAUAGACAAGUUUCCUGAGUGAAAUAAGCGGGCCGCCAUUGGCCUUUCACUCUGCCAACGACUUCCGGUUGUGUCUGCAAAGCACUUCCGGUUAGCGAGUUAGCGUCUUUUACGGUCUUUGGUGAGAGUGCAGAAAAAGUCAACUAUAGAUGGUGUUACACGCCGACCUGGCUCCGGGACAUAUUGUGCUGUUCACGGUUGCAACAACUCGUGGCGAUUGCUGAAUGUUUGGUCGGAAGGAGAAUGUUUCGACCAUCAACCAUCUACAAGGCGCCAAUGUGGAUGUGCUCCCCCGUAUGCGUUGUAUGAGAAACCAAAAACAGAUGUUGAAUCUCGGAAGUGGCUAGCGGCUUUGACGUUGAAGAAUCCGCCCAAAAGACUGUUUGUUUGUUCUUAUCACUUCGUUGAUAAAAAGCCCACAGAGGAAAACCCUUUCCCGGAACUUUGGUUGGGAUACGAGCGACCUCCUCAGCAAAAGAGACGUAAACUCGACAGAAACACAAGUGACACGCAAUCGGAUGAAGUGUGCAUCGAGCCGAAGUUUAAAGAUGCUGCAACACAAUGGGAGGACCUAACAAAAACUGACCACACGCGGCAAAGUUGGACCACGUGAACAAAUCGACGCAGACUGAGGGUCAGACUGUGGCUGAUGAUAUGCUCCUGGAUGAUGAUACCUCGCUGCUGUACACAGGACUGUGUCUAUUAUAUUUUUUUACUUUGGUGAAAACGAUGUUGCCAUUUAGUAAACCAUCAUGUAGUAUUCCUGUUGUUGACCAAAUACUGAUGACCCUCAUGAAACUGAACUGAACCUUGUGUUGGGGGAUGUGGCAAAGCGCUUUAAAGUGUCUAAAGGUGAAGUAAGUAAGGUGAUUGCUCACUGGAUUGAUACAUUGGGUGAGCAGCUUGAACCCAUGGUUGCCUGGCUGCCAAGAAGUGUUAUUCGUGCUAACAUGCCACCAUCCUUUAAAAAGAACCACCCCCAGACCACUUGCAUCAUCGAUUGUGCUGAAACGGCUAUUCAGAGAGCUACAAACCUUAACUGUAGGAGUGCCACUUUCAGUCAUUACAAGGGAACCAAUACUGCCAAAUAUCUUGUUGCUGUGUCACCUCAAUGUUUAUAUCAGAGGCCUAUGCUGGUAAAAGCAGUGAUAAGUUCAUCACUAUAAACAGUGGGUUUCUGGAGGCCCUAAGGCCUGGUGAUGAGGUAAUGGCUGACAGGGGUUUCACGAUUCGAGAUGUGCUACAUGAAAGGAAGGUGAAAUUAAAUAUUCCUGCCUUUACCUACAAGCGUGGUCAAUUGACCAAUGAGCAGGUAACGCGCACUAGACGAGUGGCCAAUGUCCGUAUAUAUGUGGAGAGGGCAAUCCGAAGACUUAAAGUCUUCAAAAUUCUGUCCCAAACUGUCCCCAUCUCCAUGACCCCGAGGUUGGACAAGAUUCUUAUCAUAUGUGCUGCUUUAGCAAACAUGAGGUCCAGACUCAUCCGACUGCCAUAUGAGGUGUAAGUCCUUAUGAAAAGUAAAACCUGGAUCAUCUGCAGUUUUUUUUUUUGUACAUAUUCCUUUUAUAUAUAUUUAUAUAUAUAUAUAUGGUAACACUUUAUUUUAAGGAUCAGAAAUUAGACACUAAUUAAUUACUAAUAACUGCAUUUGUAAGUAACUAGUUAUACUUGUGUGCCAUUACAAGCUAUUUAUAAGGCCUUUAUUGGCUGUUCUCUUAUUUUUGUCUUAUAGCCCCUUUAUAUUUGUUUCUGUCCUAACAAUCUACUAAUUAGCUAAAAAUAAAUCAAACUAAUAGCUUGUACUGUGCCAAUUACAUACUUUGCAAAUUUAAAUGUCUGUUGAAAUGCCCAUUCUAUAUUUAUUUCAUACUUAUAAGCUACAACAGCCAAUAAAGGGCUAAUCUAGUCUAAUUUCUGAUCCUUAAAAUAAAGUGUUGCCAUAUAUAUAUAAAUAAAUUUCAGCUAGAAACCUGUGUAAAUUUAUUGUUAUUGUUCUCUUUCUGGUAUUGUGAUUAUUAGUAAGCCAAAACAGAGUUUUAACUAAGAAAAACUUGUGUGAGUGCUAUUCUUUUUCUUGUAUUGUAAAUAUUGACACAUGACAAUAAACAAUUUGAUUUUUCAGAAGAAA